rnacentral:rRNA from 1 species
CCCUUAGAUGUUCUGGGCCGCACGCGUGCUACACUGAGUGGAUCAGCGGGUCAGGUUGCGCGAAAGUGUUUCCUAAUCUUGAAAUCCGCUCGUGAUGGGGAUUGACGGUUGCAAUUUUCCGUCAUGAACGAGGAAUACCUUGUAAGCGCGGGUCAUCAUCCCGCGCUGAAUACGUCCCUGCCCUUCGUACACACCGCCCGUCGCUCCUACCGAUUGAGUGGUCCGGUGAGGCUUUGGGAUCUGAGCGGAAAGAGCGUUUCGCUGUUUCUGCUCGGAAAACUCAGUCGAACCUUAUCAUUUAGAGGAAGGAGAAGUCGUAACA